GUGUGGCAUCUUUCCUGUUGGGUAUAAAAUACCCUCCAGCCAAAGUUCGUACCAGGAGUGACCCUCCCGGGACUUUGCCGACAUCCAACCUUGGGCGACAUCUUUCCAAACCUCUUCGAUGGCCGAGCUUCCGUAAUAUUCUCAAGUUCUAUCGAUGGAUAAACUCCCACAGCUUCUUCCACAAGUGUCGAUCGGGUUCCCCCGACGGACGAACUCCUGCCGCAUCCCCCGGGCUUCU
rnacentral:lncRNA from 1 species